UACAGAGGGGGCAAGCGUUGUUCGGAAUUACUGGGCGUAAAGCGCGCGUAGGCGGCUUGGUAAGUUAGAGGUGAAAGCCCGGGGCUCAACCCCGGAAUUGCCUUUAAGACUGCAUCGCUUGAAUCCGGGAGAGGUGAGUGGAAUUCCGGGUGUAGAGGUGAAAUGCGUAGAUAUUCGGAAGAACACCAGUGGCGAAGGCGGCUCACUGGACCGGCAUUGACGCUGAGGUGCGAAAGCGUGGGGAGCAAACAGG
rnacentral:rRNA from 1 species